CAAAAAAAUAUUUAAAUAGUAAAAAAUAUGUUAAUUUAACGUGUUAAAAUUUAAAAAUAAAUUUUAAUUAUGACAUGCAUUUUAACAUUUAUAUAAAUAUAAAUCAUAGCCUAAAUAUAAAUAAUUUAACAACUUAAAUUAGAAAAAAAUAAAAAUCCCGGGCGUAGCCCAGGUUAAUCCCUAGUCUAUUAUAUAAUAUGAUAGUUUCUCUCCUCCUGAAUGCGACACGUCAGCGGUCUGUGGGUCCCACUUUUUAAAAGUGUGAAAAAAUGUCAAAUAUGUGGUUCAAACCCGGGUUAUUGAGAUAUAAGCACUCACAACUAUACCAUUGCACUAAAGGAUAUUUUGUACAUUGAUGGUCGAAACUAAUAUAUAUUAUAAAGGUCGGAAACUAAUAUAACAUUGUGAACCCCACCUCUUUUUUUUUUUUUAACUGAUGGGUAACGAAUGGACUUCGACAAAAAGUGGGCUUUGGGUUUAUUGAUUUUCUGUUUAUUAGGCUUUGUAUCUGCCCAAAGUGGUGAUACGGACAAAGCUAAGAAGAUUAGGGAAGCCGCCAUCUUCACCAUCUCCUUCGUCACUAUUAUGGUCGAUCUUUAAGGCUCUACGCACGUUUUGCAUCCACCAAACGCUUAGUUUCUCCUCUAACGCCUUCAGAGCUCUCAUAGAAUCCCUCAAGGUAAAAGCUCCAUCUUGUCUCGAACUUUUCUUUCUCAGUUUUCCGAUCGCUUUACUUUCUCACAUCCAUCACGAAAAUGACUUAUCCAGCUGCUCCAGCCGCUUCAGCCGCCGUUCCCUACUCCACCUUCAACUCUCUCCGCCUUGGAAGGUCCACUCAGUCCAUUGUUGGUCGGCUCAUCCGAUUCUAGGAUUCCAGGAACAUUAACAAGAUUGGAGAGUUUAUGGGCAUCACCAUUCUCCUCCUUGAUGAACUGGUGAUGAUUGUUUCUAAUUUAUUUUUUAUCACUUUAACUCUGCUUUGCUUAUUCUUUGUUCAUAUAUGAAACGUGUCUUCAUCUUUUUGUUUUGGUUUUGUCUAUGGGUUUUCUUAUGAACAACUAAUGAUUUUUCUCUGUUUUUUAACAUGAUUCUGUGAUCUACGGUUUCAUCCCUGCAAUCUCCAAACAAAACAAGGAAACUGAAUGAAUUAUGUUUUUAGCAACUGAAUCUAAAAGAAAUAAAAGACAUCUUACUUAACAAAUUAAAACCUUUUUCUUUUGCAGAUUCCGACGACGACGAAGCACCCGAAGACCAACGACAAUGGAAUGAUGCGGACAAAGCCUAACUGACGUAAGUAAACUCCUCUUCAAUAACGCAUCACACUAUUAUCGCUCCCCAAUCUCACAAACUUAAGCUCUAAUCAUGCCAGGGAUCCCACAGGUGAUGCUGUCCCGACGACGGAAAAAAGAAAGAAAGAUAAACUAACGUUUUUUUUUAUUUUCAGUUUUUAAGUUCAAAUCAUGUUUUAUACAUAUAGCCCAAUAUAAUAUGAUCCCAAACAUUUUAAACCCACAAAUAUUUUUUUAUUAUGUAAAAAACGUCAACCUUCGUUUAUGUUUUGUUAAACUAUUUUAAUCUUUAUGUUCUGUUAAACUAUUUCACACAGGGGACAGAUCUUCUUAGAAGAGGAGCCACUUGCCACGAUGCUUCCAGUUUCACCAUUCUUGACUCUUAUGAACCACAAAGCCAAUAUAAGAGCUUUGUUUCAAUCCAACGGCUGGAUUUUGUCACAAACCACCGCUAAGCCUGAAGAGGGAAGAGAAGUGGAGUGCUGCGUUUUGGAAGAUGGUUACUUGGAGUUUACAAGAUGAAGAUGGAACCCGUGACGAGGAAGACGAGGAGAAGUGUUACAUGGAAUAUCCUAACGUUGAGGAUAUAGACAAUGUGUGAUCUUAGCGAUAAAGAUUAGUGUAGCUUUAAUAUAUGCUACUACGGUCCUUGAGCUCCCUAACAAGUACUAGCAAACAAUGUGUAUUUUGAAAAAAUAAAAUAAUUUUGUAAUGCAAGUAAUUUAAAACUUUGAGUAUUUAUUCAAACAACGGAUAUAUACAGAGUUGAUAACUUGAUAUGGACCCCCAAAUAAGUUGGUGCUGCGCUGUCACAAUAUCUGUCUUUUUAAUUUCAUAUACCUGAUGUAAGCUUCUUCAUCUUCUUCUUUUUCCCUUUCCGUUGUUCCACGCUCUCUAUUUCAUGUUUAAGCCUUUUUUACAUUCUCUAUAUUUUACCUUAAUUAUACUUUUUGAAUUUUCUUUCCGUUUUGGCAGAUGUCUCUAACUUGACUUAAUCGUCAAAAGCUAGGAUCAAUUUUGUUGUCUUACUUCUGAUAAAUUUUAUUCUUUAAUUUGCACAAAUCUUAAGCAACACCAACAUCCCGUAAAUCACACCACCCCACCGAUAUCCAAAGUAACCAGCGCCGCGCUUGCACGGAGUCUCAGCACCUAGUAUAAUCAAAUUGGGCGAUGGAGCAAUGAAACCGAAGAAUAAAAAAAAUUCUAUAAUAUAGAUGAUUUUUAUUCUAAUAUGCUUUUCAAACACUCUCUCUUUUCUUUUUGGCGCUUUAAACUAGAGAAGUCUUUACCCACUGGUUCUUAAGAUUGUUUCGAAGUUGACUUACCAGUUUUAGUAAGAUUCCCUGCAAAUUCCUCAAGUUUUUCAAACGCACUUUCCUUUCUCAGUAAAACCUACUGAUCCCCUGUAGUCACUAGUUAUUAACCGUCAGCUCUUUCGUCCUCCGCCGGUGAACCAGCUCUCGACUACUUCCUCGAUGACGAUGUACUUUGGUUAUGAGCUAAUGGAGGAUAUGGAGGACCCUCACAGAAGCCGACGACUAGCUUUCUUCACUGCUUAAGCUCGAACCUCGGAGUCGACUGAAACUCCUCCGAACGGAAGUCUUGAGUAGAAGACAGCCCUACGCUCCUCUGUUUCUGCUUCCCCUUUACUCUUCUGCUGGUUACUGUCGCCGCUUUCUCUAUAAAUCGAGAUUAUCAUCGUUACUUUUCUCUGCUACUUCAUAACCGGCUGUAAGAUGGAAAGACGGUUCACCAUUGAGGAAAAAGGCAAAAUCAUUGCUGUAAAUCAAGCCGAACCACACCGCUUGAGAAUCCGAGCUCCGGAGUUCAACCCCUCUGAACUGAUACGGGAUAAUGCUCUCACCCUUAUAGGCCGUCUGACAAACCCGAGAUAACAUAACAUGGUCACUGUACUCUCCUACUUGCCUAAGAAAUGGAAUCUGCUUGGUAUAGUUGCAGGCUCUGAGCUUGGAGAUGAUUGUUUCCAAUUCAGGUUUGAGGAUGAAGCAGAUCUCCGACGAGUUCUAAACGAGAGACCCUAUCAGUAUGGUCAAUGGAUGAUUAUCAUCCAGCGUUGGGAUCAGAUAUACUCUCCCACUUUUCCGUCCCAAUUACCCUUUCGGAUCAACAUCAAAGAGAUACCUCUCCAUUACUGGCAUGAAAAAGUGCGUAAGAACACCGGCUUGGAGCUUGGAGGUUUAGAGGACUACCAGCUCACUAAAUCUUCUGCAAGAAUUCGACUACUCAUGGAUGGCUUACAGCCUAUCAUCAAGGACCAAAUCCUCGAUUUUAACUCAGGUGAGGAAACCACCCUGGUACUGGAUUAUGAAAACCUUGGAAACCACUGCUCCCUCAGCAACUGCCUGACUCAUCUAAGAUUGUACUGCCUAGAUCGAAAGCAUGCAAACAAUCGUCUCAACGAUACAACCCUCCCCUCUACUUUUGAGCGAUCGAGAAACUUCAAUAACAACGGUUCCCAAAGACUACAAUCAACUAGAGCUGCUGAGGAUGCAAGAGGGGACGUGGUUGCAAAUGAUCAAUUUAUACCGUCUCUACUACCGUGGGAAUAAGGAACAUAAUCACACCGGCCCCUAAUAGACCUGCUGAGAGUAAAAUUCCAGAGAGACAACACAGAGAUUAUCCCAGUAUAUACUAUUAUGGUAGCUCUCCUCCUUACUCGACAAGUAGAGGCCAUAGACGCUCACAACAAGAUGAACUACGCAGAGACUCUUCAUCAGCCUUAUCGCCACGUCAGCAAGGGAACACUCAGUGGAGAGUUAAACAACCAACGGCGGAUAUGACGGGGGCUGCCCCCCAAAAUUCACUAGAGAGUGCUAGACCAGCGGUGGGUAGGAAUCUUGAGAUCCACGACUUCCCCCGAUCCCAUCAAAAGAGCAAGUUAUGGACGAUCUUCAACAGGCUACCUACAGGUAUACAAGUUGUGCAGACCCCACGGAGAGCACUGCUCGCAAACAGAGGGUUCUUGUGAGCGAUGCCCAAGGAGAUAUAGAAGUAGCUCCUCAACGUAUCAUCAAUGCAGCCAUUGAAACACAGGCCAUACAAGCACAACUCCUUGCGCAACAUAUGGUACUACCUCCUGCUGUUAUACCUGCUCCCAGUGAGCCAGUUUCUAAUGUUCAAGACCCACGAUAAUCGACUACUGUCAUCACCGGGAAGAAGUGAGGAAGACCAGCAAAACCUAAGGAUAAGCCCAAGGACAUACGCAUUAGCCCAAAGACCAUUGUUGGGUCCUCGUCCCGUCGCCGUAUUUUGUCAAUUGUUCAAGCAUCCCCGGGAACAGCUGCUGGAUCGCAGCAAGGGAGAAGAGUCGUGCGUCCUGCUACUACGUCACGAAGAAAAACCUAAUCUCAAACAUCAACUGUACAACUUCCUCCUCUACCACCAACAAGAGAUGGAGACACAUCAGGAGACUCACCGGUGUAUUUUCGCCGGUCUCCUCCCCAUCUUCCUCAGCUUUACUUAGCUAGAACUAUUGUGGGUUGGGGAACCCCAUAACAGUCUAGCAAUUAAGAGAGAUCGACAAGAAACACUCUCCCGAUAUUAUGUUCCUCAUGGAAACAAAGAAUGCUGAUAAUGUUGUGCUUGAUAAAUUAAAAGAUCUAAGAUUUGAUUCGCAUUUUUUUUGUUUCUGCUACUGAUACUGGAAGUUGAGGUCUUUUCUUGUUAUGGAAAAAUGCUUUAAAUAUUCAGAUAUUAUCUUUCAGCAAGAAUCUCAUCGACACCUUGGUGACCCACAAAGGUGCUUCCUUCCAUGCCUCUUUUAUUUACAGAGAACCUGAAGUCUGCAACCGACAUGCAACCUGGAAAUGCUUAUCUCACACUUUUGACAACCGUGCUACCCCAGGUUUUUCACUUUGGAUAUUAAUGAAAUUAUUCAGAACAAAGAGAAAUCUGGAGGGCCUCUUCGAGCAGAAGGAACGUUUGGAGCUUUUAGAAGCUUCCUUGCACAACACGACUUGUUUGAUCUGAAGCAUUCAUGCAAUUUUCUGUCGUGGCGAGGGAAGCGGGGAACCCACCUUGUAUACUGCAGACUCAACAGGGCCCUAGGUAACGGUAACUGUUCAGAUGUCUUCGCCAAUGGCUGAUGCCAAUAUCUGGAGUUUCAGGGGCCGGAUCACCAUCCAUUGAUGUCUUUCUUCGAAGCGAAACGCCGGACAAAAUCUUCUAUAUUCCGAUUUGACAGAAGACUUCGGGAUAACGUGAAAAUCAAGCAACUAGUUGCUGCGACAUGGCAUGCCCAUUCUGAAACGACAGUACACCACCGUCUCUCGUAUUGCAGGAAAGCCAUUGUAUCCUGGAGUAGAGAGAAAGCAAGGAACAGUAUAUUCAAGAUUGAGCGCAUUCAGAAAGAGCUUAACGAGAAUAUGACCAAUCCGAAUGGGUGUGAGAAUUAGAUAUUGAGACUGAAUGCCGAGCUUUUAGCGGCCUACAGAGCAGAAGAAGAAUUUUGGCACCAACGAAGUCGUCUCAUGUGGCUUGUAGCACCAGAUUCUUUCAUGUGAUAGCUAAAUGAAGAGGGGCUCGAAACAGAAUUUUGGGGUUAGAAGAUGCUUCAGGGAAGGUUCUGUUGGAAGAGGGACACAUAGCCACGGAGAUAGCUUCUUACUUCCAGAGCAUUUUCUCAUCGAACACUUCUGGCUCAGACGAUGCUUAAGCAUGUCUUAUCUGCUAUUCCUACUCAUGCUAGCACCUGCUUCGAACUCCCGAUGAGCCUAUGUAAGCGAAUCCAAUCGGCACUCACUAGAUUCUGGUGGGACUCAGCGGAUAAGAAGAAAAUUUGUUGGAUAGCUUGGAGCAAAAUUACAUUGCCAAAAAUCAUGGGAGACCUUGGUAUUAGAGAUAUUCAGCUCUUUAAUAUAGCUUUACUGGCCAAGCAAGCCUGGCGGUUAGUCUCAACACCUGAUUGUCUACUCUCUCGGAUUCUAUUGGGUAAGUAUUGGCAAAACAGAAGUUUUCUCGACCUACCUCCUACUCCGUCAUCGUCUCACGGGUGGAUAAGUGUCCUUUUGGGACGCGACCUUCUGGUAACCAACCUGGGAAAAGUUAUUGGAGAUGGAAACUCAACCAUAGUGUGGCAGGAUCGCUGGAUCUUAAAUGGAAGUAUUGGACGCCCAUUUGGACCACCGAUUGAGAUGGAUCAAGAUCUUAUGGUUGCUGACUUAUUAAGAAGAGGUUCCAACGAGUGGAAUGUUCCUAAAGUUAAAUCCUUGUUCCCACUCAUCUCAAAGAAAAUUCUCAGCAUCUCCCCGAGCACAUUAGGAGCUAAUGAUGCCUUCGUCUGGACACCUACCAAGGAUGGAGUCUAUUCAACUAAGCCAGGGUAUUUCGUAGCGAUGAAGAACAGAGCAGCUCUCGACAAUGAAACGGAUUCAUCACUCGAGUUGGAAUGGACGAAAAAAGAUCUCGGGAUCACCCUGCCUCCCAAACAUUAAACUCUUUAUGUGGAAAUUGGUUAAAGGUGCUUUAGCACUAGGAGCUAACUUGGAAAACUGAGGUUGUGGGCCUGUUCUCUGCCCGAGAUGUGGAGAAAAAGAAACUGCUGAGCACCUCAUACUUCAUUGGUUUGCUAGAGAAGUCUGGAUGGAAGCUCCAUUCAAUGGUAUGAUUGCGUUCGACCAGUUCACAUCAUUGAAGGAAGCUAUGGCUGCCAGAAUUAAACUGAAUUGUCUCCCUCCAACUGGAGUAACAUCACAUGUUUUUCUAUGGAUCUGCUGGAGCCUAUGGACAGCGAGAAGUAAACUAAUCUUCGAGAACAAGGCUCUUACACCUUCUGAAGUUAUCCACACUGCCAGUAGUAGUGCUAGGGAAUGGAAUCUGGCACAAACCACGCUAACAAGCACAACCACAAGCACAGAUUCAUACACUCGCUCUGCAGUACCCGCCCACAUCGAGAGCCAUGAUUGUGUCUCAAUCUUUACAGAUGCAGCUUGGCGUCCUACCAACGGAGUUACAGGUUUUGGAUGGAUUCUCAAGGAACCGAUACUGACCGCUACUCAGCAUGGUUCUAGAUGCUUCGAUUACAUCCCAUCGGCCCUGGUAGGGGAAAGUUUAGCAGUUCGUUUGGCCCUCUCCCACGCAUUGUCUUCUAGUUUCUCCAAAGUCUGUGUGUUCUCAGAUUGUCAGGUGCUCAUCAGAGAACUUUCUUCGAAGUCACCACCGGUAAAACUCUACGGAAUCUCCCGUGACAUCGAUAUCCUAUCCUCCUUGUUUGAAUCUUUCUCUUUGUCUUUUAUUUUUAGAUCCUUGAACUCUGAGGCGGGCCUUCUCGCUAAGGGUGCUAUUUGUAAUGUUACUUUCUCCACAUGAUGAUUUUCUUGUGCUCUUUAAAUUAAUCUAAGUGUUUGGUGUUCAAAUAAAAAAAUAAAAUAUAGAGGAAUACUAUUCUUCUUCUAUAAAUAGAAGAAAAAUAGUAAUUUUUAUUUGAGAAAAAAAUAGAAAUGAGUUAGAGUGAUUUCAACUCUAAAUAAUAUUAUAUAGGCAAAUAUAAAGGUUGUCAGAGAUGGCCUAACAAACCAGAAACGAAGGUUGAAUGAUUUAUCUUUAAAAUUAAUGAUUGAUGGGCAGAGAGACAUUUAAAGGGGGAAGUAAUGUAUAUUUUGUUUUGAAGUCUUUUGUGUGUGUUUUAUGCAAAUUUCUCAACAUUUUAGUGUCUUGUAACUUCCGUUCGCUUCAAUGUUCCAGCAAUCUCUGCUUCCAUCUCAGUUUUGUGUUUUUAAGGAUUUGAUUCAAAUGACUAUGUUUCAAACUUUACCCUUCUUAAAUCCAAAUAAAACGCUCUAGUCUUUGAUCUUCAUAGUCUAAGCCUUAAAGGGUUCCAAGUUCCUCUAACUGGCUAAUUAUACAAGUAGAGAGAAUUUCAUGUUGGAUAAUCCUUUAAUUAAGAUAUAACCGUACAGAUUAAUUAUUAUUUUCAAACCGGCCUAGCCCAAUAAGGAAAUUGAUAGAUUGCUACCCAAUACAAAUACAAAAUGUGAAAAUAUUGACCCAAUUUUCAAAUCUCAUGUGAAGCCCAAAUAUUUAUUUUAUUCGUAAAACAUUGAUAAACCGAUCCAUUUAAGAAAGAAAACGGUUUAAAACCACAUCACUCUCAAUUUUUUUCAUCCUUGCCUCGACAAUUCUAUGAAUAAUUCAUAUUUUCAUAUGCAUAGAGUAAAGCUAAACUGUAUUAUCUAUUUGUUUCCCAAAUAUUUGACCAGUAAGAAUAUGUUGUGAAAUUUCUCAAGACUUCAUCCCCAUUAAUAGAUCCUCAAUUUGCUUUCACUACAACAUUUAUUAUGAAAUCUUAUCCAUUUAACAUUAUUCGCAGUGAGAUCCACAAAACUUAAGUUGUUGAUCCCUUAACCACAAUGUUUCAAGCAGUGGCGGAGCUAGCCUAUAAUCAUGUGGGUCAAAUGACCAGUAUGAAUUUUUGAAUUUUUUUUUUGCAUGUAUUACGUACAGAAACAUAUAAUGAGUUUUGUUUACUGACUCUCGUAAAACACUUGUAUCAUCAGUUUGACCUUUUUUUUUUGUCAAAAACAUUUCUUCCUUCGCCAUUGGUUUCAAGUUAGUGAAUUUGAGAGUCUUUUUUGUUUCAGCGUACUAGGCAAUGUGGAUGAAACCGACAUCCAGCCACUAAGCUUUUUUUGGUUUGACAAAUGGUGGGAAGGAGUCAAGGAGAUAAGACCUCCUAUAAAAGCAUCUCCAAAAGAAGUUAUAUAACUUUAAAUAUAGAGCUUUUUCCUCUACAAUAAGAAACUUUAAAACUUCAAAUUUGGAGUUUUGAGAAGUGAAACUUCAUAUUUGGAGUUUCACUACUCAAAACUCUAAAUUUGAAGUUUCAUCUUUUAUUUGCAUUUUAGUCCCAACAAUUAAUUACACAUCACAUUUAUGAUUAUUAAGUAUUUUUGUUUAUCGUUUUAAUCCUUAGAAUUUUUAUAUCUCAUAAAUAUUUCAAAUUUUUUUAAUAAAUUCAAAAUUUUCACAUAAAUUUAUAUAAAAAGUUAAAAUAAUAUUUUUAAUAUUUUAAAACUAGAAUUAGACAACAAGAAUAUUACAAAAAGAAACUUAAUAAUUUUUUUUAAAAAGAUACAUGAAGACAUAAUUAUUAAACAAGUUUAAAUAUUGCAACAAAACUAAUAGUCUGGUAAAAUUUCUCCGGAACCUCCAAAAUCUCUAAAAUAUUGUCCAAACAAAUUUUGUGUAACCGAAGAUGGACAUUGCGGAAAUAAUUUCAUGGAAUAAUGUGGUAUAUUUCUUGUAGUUUCAUAUUUUAUUAUGUAUGUAUUUUUAUAAUUUUAUAUAUUAGUGUAAUAUUUUAUUAAUUACUAUUGCUAUAAUAUUUUAUAUAUAUGUGUUGGUUAUUUAUAAAAGUUUUAUGGAUUUAUACUAAUUAUGAAAAAUAUAAAGACUAUAAUGCAAAAUACAAAUAAUUUUGAAAAGAAGAAUCAAUACUACCAUUUUUAGGGUUUUACGGCGUUUUAAACGCCUUAAGUCAUAAAAUUGAACUCGGCGGAAAAGAGGAAGAACUUACUGGUGGCGGAGUUCAUGAAGCCUGGUUUCAGAACUGAAAAAAGGAAGCGGAUGAUUAGCUUAGUCUACUAAACUACUCCUCGGGAUAAAGGAGAAACGAGAUUCAUUGUAAAAAGAGAGAUUACAGGCGGUGAGAACGACAUAAAAGAGAGAUUCGCCUCAGAUAGAAAUGGCGCUAAGGUUUCGUUCUUUUCAACAAAAAAAGUGAAAAAUAGUAUUUAUAUGUCCGGUAAAUUCUCUGGUUAAGUUUAAUGUACUUUGGUAAAAUCAAAGAUUCGGUAGAAGUCGUCCGGUAAAUACUAUUCAUUAGACGAUUUCCAUGAAAGUCGUCUACACCCUAAAUAAACCCUUAAACUUAAUUAACUAACUAAACACUUCAUUAAACUUAACUACAAUUUAAAAAGUGUUUAAUAAACGAAAACUAAACAUGUAUAGGUCACAUGUAGGUCAAAAUUUAGUUUUUCAAAAAAUAUUAUAAGCUUCCUAAAAACUAACUCUAACAAUACAUACAAUACUCCAACAUGUGUUGCCAAACCCUAAACCAAAAAAUAUCAUGAAUCACUACUUUCACUCAUCUAUGUUGAGAACAAUUCCAUUUUAUUAUAUUUAAUUUAUAUCACUUGCAACUAUUUAUAAUUACGUGAUUUCAAUUUUUUCCCUAUCAAAAUAUUUUUUUACAAAAUUUAUAAAUUAUUUUUAAUAUUAACUAUACUAGAAGACUUUCCUAGACGUCUUCCAGACGACUUAAAGUAUCUCAGAAGACUCAGAAGACUUUCUGGGACUAUAUUUGUAAAAGUGAGUUCUGGUUUUUUGUUUGGUCAUAAGGGGCUGGCUGUAAUUUCACAAGGCUUUUAGGUUAAUUUUACAAUUGAUUCAAGUUUGGUUAUAUAUAGUUUUGCAUUUAAAAUCAAGUUUUGAGUCAUAUUUGGCAAAUUUUCCAUAUUUCUUCUCUAUUAUGUAGGUCCAAUUUAAUUUGACUUCCAUAUACAUUUCAAACUUUAAAAAAAAGAAAAAUUAUGUAAAAUAGUAUUGUUACAUAAUAAUGUUCUCAAAAUAAUUUUUGUUACAAAAAUUUAUAGUAAUAACAAUAUAAGCCAUUUAAAUAUAUGCAUUAUAGAGUUAUAUCCCUUAUAUACUAAAGCACAAGUCACUCAACAAAUAAAUUUUUGACAUCUGGAAAAUGUUAAAAAAACAAAAAAAACAACUAAUUGAAAAGAAAAAUCUUCGAUCCCUAAUUAUCAGCACAUAUUGCCUAUGUUUUCUUAUAAUAUUUCAGCCACGUUCAAAAUCAGUUGACCACAAUUUUCAAACUGUUUUUUUUUCAUAUAUAUAAUUUUGAUCUAUUAAUUUACUCUUUGUUUGUUUUUUCAAUCUUCUCUGCACGGAUGUUUUCUCUUUCUUAAAGAUUUUAUGUUUUGGUUGGUUUUUUCUUUCUUUGCAAAAAAAGGAGAGAUUGAGUAUUAGUUUUUUUUUUUUGCCAAAAAGAGAGAUUGACUACACGAUUUGUUUGAAUUAAACAGGUUACUUCCUGUUUUUUUUUUUCCGUGGCAAUUCAAAUUUUAUUUAUUCAUCACCUGAAUUGAUACCCAAUCGAUAAAUACAGUAGAAUUAUGGAAGAAAUUGAUACUGGUAUGGUAUUUUUGAAGAGAUUUCAAUUUUAGUUAACUCCUGUAUAUAACUUAAAAACUUCUUCUAUCUAUUGAUUUACAGGUACUGUAGGUUACGGUUUGGAGAUGUGGCAUGGAGCAUAAUCAAAAUUAUUUGUGAAAGGGGAUUCGAGAGACAAAUGAUGUACCAUUAUUCCUAUAACAAUUGCGAAAGAGCCAACAGAAAGCCAAAGAGUUGCGAAAGAGGCAAA